UGGAGCUGUAGCUAUUGGCCUAUGUCACAAUGCCAGAUCUCAGCUGUAUCUGAAACCUACACCGUAGCUCACGGCAACGCUGGAUUCUUAGCCUACUGAGAAAGGCCAGGGAUCGAACCUACAUCCUCAUGGAUGCUAGUCAGAUUCAUUUCCACUGAGCCACAAUGGGAAUUCCUCAUUCUUUUUAAUACUAAGUAAUAUUUCAUUGUAUGGACAUAACACUCUAUGGUUAUCCAUUCACCCACUGAUGGACAUUUGGGUUAUUUCCACCUUUUGGCUACUGUGAAUAUUACUCCACUACUAUACAAAUACCCAUUCAAGCGUCUGCUUUCAAAUUGAGAAUAUAUCCCAAAGUGGAACUGCCAGAGGAGUUUUGCUCUUAAAAAUUCCAACUUUCAAUAAACAUGUCUUUUGAUUAUUUAAAAAUCAAUGUCAUCAGGAGUUACCGUCGUGGCGCAGUGGUUAACGAAUCCGACUAGGAACCGUGAGGUUGCGGGUUCGGUCCCUGGCUUUGCUCAGUGGGUUAACGAUCCGGCGUUGCCGUGAGCUGUGGUGUAGGUCACAGAUGCAGCUCGGAUCCCGCGUUGCUGUGGCUCUGGCGUAGGCCAGUGGCUACAGCUCCGAUUAGACCCCUAGCCUGGGAACCUCCAUAUGCCGCGGGAGUGGCCCAAAAAAAUGGCAAAAAGACAAAAAAAAAAAAAAAAAAUCAGUGUCAUCGAAUUCAAUUUCUAGACUGAAUUUUUAACACUAAAAUAGCUAUGGUAUUUCCUCUCACUGUAUGCUUUAAAAGCCCAAGAUAAAAAUAAAAGUGAUUUUCAUAUCUAUGACUUGAAGGUGAAUCUCCCAAUAAUGCCACUGUUAGCCAACUUCCCUCUAGCAGAAUGCACUGCUCUUUGGUAAUGUCAUCUAUAAAUAUUCUUCCUGUUUCCCCACACCUCUAGCCUCUGCUCUUGAGUAUCAACCAUCAGGGCAAUUAACCUCCAAACCAUUCUGUUCUUACAGCUGAUAUGUUCCCCUCCAACUAUUAACACAUCUUAUCUCUCACUUUCUGAUAACACAUACUUAUUUUAAUAAUGUCACCACAAUGCUCAAAUUUAGUCACUUAAUGGGAAUAAUUCAAGCCAACCGAAAUAAAAACAAAGCAAUAUGUUUCAGAAAACAUUAUGAACUUCCCUCAACACAUCUAACUUCAUACCAUCAUAAAAAUCAGAUGUAACACAGUUAGCCCAUAAUAUAGGUCUGAUCAUCUGUUACUCAGUAAUGUUACAGAAGAAUACCCCUUAUUUUAAAAUUUUAAUAUAUGAGGAUUCCACUCACAUUAAUGAGUAGUUUUCAAAAAUUAUGUAAAUAUGAAUAGGGCAUUUCAUUGUUGUUGUGAGCAGAGAAAUAAUCUAGAGAUGCAAAGUCAGCAUCUCUGAAGCCCUAACUGUAAAUUACCGACCACUUGAAAAGAGAAAUGUAGUUCCUAUCGAAAAGAGAGUUAUUAUACCUGCAUACAAUCCAUAAUUUUAAGACAUCAGUGGCAUGAUGAAGUUAUUAAAGUCUUUCUGACAAAGUAAAGACCAUAAUAACUCACUACCGCCUUCAUCAAAGCUGGUGAGCUACAGAGUAUAUGAGGGUAAUUACCCUUUAAGUAAAGUAUGUAGGCAGUUUCUUAUAAGUUUUUACCUUUAGUACAUAAAUUGCCACACUUUGUUAACAAACAGUUUAAAGUAGACCAAAUUAUGUAAUUAAAUUAUAAGAGAAAAUUACUUCAUAACUAUUCAUUCUCACCUAAGACAUCAAACAUAUGAUUUCUGUUACUAGGGUCCGGUGAUUGUAGCUAUCUUGAAAUGUCUAUAUAACUGCAUCGUUUAAUAAAUCCUGAUUUAUGCAUUUACUAUAUACAUGCUAAAUCAUGACUUAGAGAAUUCCAAUUUCUUAGAUGGGGAGCUAUAGAGAGAUACUGGAAAUACCUACUAUUCCUAAGAACAUCCAACAUUAGUUUUUAAUCUAGGUAAAGCCUGACAUAUUUCCGUUCAUUCACCAGGGAAUCCACACCUCUGAAACAGCAACUGCCCUCCCGCAAGAGUAUCAUGGAAUAUGAUUUCCUUGUUGAGAGUUGCACAACAGUUUCCUUCCAGGAGUAAAGAUGAUUGGGAUCUUGUUGGGGUGGAUGUUAGACACUUAGAACAUAAAGUGGCAUAUUUUCAAUACCUGUCACUGAGCCUAGGAAGUCUGUCCCAGCCAUGGGCCAUUCCCAGAACAUAAGAACUCCAAGUAGCACCAAACAGUGUUAGCUGUAUUUAGAACCUGCCUAGACACAUGCCCAAGUUACAAGAGCUCUGUGGGUCUGACAGGGCCUAGACAUAGUAUCCUAAACUACAUCUAUUCCUCUGCUACCUGUUCUAACCCCAACUGAAAUGGGUUGGAAACUUUGGAUAAUAAAACUAUUUUGAGGAGAAGUAAAAUGUUACAGACAAAGCAUAUCUCUUUGGCCUUGACACCAGCAUAAUGUUUUCUAAACUAAGGGAAGAUUUUAAGUGAAAUCCAGAUCAUUAUAAUUCAAGAGUGGUGAGGAACAGUCUUAAUUUAAAAAUCUAAGAUGCUUCCAGAGGGACUAUCUUCAUCUCACUGUACAGUAAGGGUCAAAUAUAUCAACUGGGAAUUACUUUUGUUACUACUAAUUAUAAUUUCAUGUUGCUUGGUAGCUUUCCUUUAUAUAACUUUUGAUGUAGAAACUUAUGCUAUAUUCUUGACCUUUAUACUAUGCAUCAAAAGAGUAGUAAUUUAUUUAUUCUUGUUCAGAGUAAAUUAUUGAUUUGCAAUUGACUAUGUAUGGGAGUUCCCAUUGUGGCUCAGCAGGUUAUGAACCCAACUAGUAUCCUAUCCAAGAGAUGUGGGUUCAAUCCCUGGAGCCUCGCUCAGUGGGUUAAGGAUCCAGCAUUAAUUACCACAGCUGUGGUAUAGGUCACAGAUGUGGCUCAGAUCCUGUGUUGCUGUGCUUGUGGCAUAGGCUGGCAACUGCAGCUCCAUUUCAACCCCUAGCCUGGGAAAUUCCAAAUGCUGCAGGUGCAGCACUAAAAAGCAAUAAAUAAAUAAAUGGUACAUUUUAAUUUAUAUAUAUUUAGAAAUUACACUACUUUUUGGUGCAUAUCUACAUUUUAUAUAUGAAUGAUUCAGAAUUCAAUUCCUAGAAAUCUGAUGGUUUCUAAUCAUUCACACCUCAAUGUUCAGAAGUUCAUAAAGCUGACAGAAAUAACAUAAAAAAGACUCAGAAAUUAUCAGUAGCAGCAAUUUAGAAAAUAAGACUAAGGAGACAGUGAGAAAAAUUCUUUUCGAUAUUAAUAAGAACUUACAAUUACAGAUCACUAACUAAAUGCUAACCCAUUUUCAAAGUGCUAUUACAAAUACUAACUCAGUCAAUGCUUACAAAAAACCCUAUAAGAUGGGUAAUAUCAAGUUAGCAAUUUCACAGAUGAGGAAACCAAAGCACAGAGGGUUCACAUAACAUGUCCCAAGUUGGACCUCCUCUAAGUGGAUGGGACUCAGUUGACUCCAGGACAUAUAGGCUUAAUCAUGACACUAAACUGCCUCCUUUAAUAACUGCAAUGAGAAAUUUAUUAUUUCCCAUCUCAGUUCUUUAUCUGAAAAUGAAUGUGUUUGGUAUGUACUUAACACAAGAUUGGAGGAGUAAAUUUAUAAAAAGUAGCUUUUGUUUUCCUAUAAUUUUGCUAACAUAUUCUACCAGCUAUUAAUUACUAAAAAUAACUUUACAUAAAUGAUACAAAUAUGAGAGAUUAUAGACUUUUUAAAAUGCAUCAUCUUUGGUUCAAUCUGAAAUGAAACGGACAUGUUUAAAAACAAAUUUUUCAGCCUGCAGAACGAAUGAUUCAGAAAAUGUAAAAUAUCAAAGUGAGGACUCCAAGGACCAUACCCCAAUCCCCAUUUGCUUUGAAAGUUCUGGGACCAAAUUUUUAACUAGGCAAGACAUCUCUUGGAUACUUAAAGUUACCUCAUAUUCUAUACUUUUCUCAUUUUCUCUAGGCUUACACUUUCUAAAGGUAUUUCUACUUUAUUUAAUGACAUGGCUUUAUCAACCCAGAAACUUUUUCUUUUUACCCAGUUCACCCCUGGAUAACUGGAUUCCACAGUUCCCACAAUCACAAAAUUCCACCAAUUCUGUCUCUGAAAUGUCCCCUGAGUCUAUGACCUCCCACCAUUCCUAUAUUCACUGCUCUUGGCCCCAUUUUUCCACCCUCAUGAUCCUGAAAGGGUAGCAGCUUUUACCUCUGUUUUGUUCCUAAAGUUCCUCACACAUGUACUAGAAUUCUCUUUUCAGAUAAAAAUUCUUAGAAGCUUUUAACAGUUUUGAGCUGUUUAUAGCAAAGGUUCCAAACUUUAAAGUGCAUUAGAUUUACCAAAAAGGCUUGUUGAAACAAGCACAGAUUGCUGUAGGUGGGGAGGAUACGUUCAACUUUCCGAUUCAACUGGACUAGGAAGGGGCCCCAGAUUCUGCAUUUUCUACAAGCACCUACGUGGUGCUAAUGCUACUGGGCCAACAACCACAUGUUAGCUUCACAACGGGUGCUGUGCAUUAAAAUUACUUGGGGAAGUUUUUUUUUUGCUCUUCAGGGCCACACCCGUGGCAUAUGGAGGUUCCCAGGCUAGGGGUUGAAUCAGAGCUGCAGCCCCAACCUAGGCCACAGCCACAGCAACACAGCAAUGUGGGAUCUGAGCCACAUCUGCCACCUACACCUCAGCUCACAGCAAUGCUGGAUCCUGAACCCACUGAGUGACAGGAAUCAAACCCACAUCCUCAUGGAUC
rnacentral:lncRNA from 1 species